UACGUAGGGGGCAAGCGUUGUCCGGACUUAUUGGGCGUAAAGAGCAUGUAGGCGGUUUGGUAGGUCCGCUGUGAAAACUCGAGGCUCAACCUCGAGACGCCGGUGGAAACCAUCAGACUAGAGUCCGGAAGAGGAGAGUGGAAUUCCUGGUGUAGCGGUGAAAUGCGCAGAUAUCAGGAAGAACACCCGUGGCUAAGGCGGCUCUCUAGUACGGUACUGACGCUGAGACGCGAAAGCGUGGGGAGCGAACAGG
rnacentral:rRNA from 1 species